GCUAUGGCUCAGUCGGUAGAGCAUAAGACUCUUAAUCUUAAGGUUGGUGGGUUUGAGCUCCACAUUGGGCA